GACGAACGCUGGCGGCGUGCUUAACACAUGCAAGUCGAACGGAAAGGCCCUGCUUUUGUGGGGUGCUCGAGUGGCGAACGGGUGGGUAACACGUGAGUAACCUGCCCUUGACUUUGGGAUAACUUCAGGAAACUGGGACUAAUACCGGAUAGGAGCUCCUGCUGCAUGGUGGGGGUUGGAAAGUUUCGGCGGUUGGGGAUGGACUCGCGGCUUAUCAGCUUGUUGGUGGGGUAGUGGCUUACCAAGGCUUUGACGGGUAGCCGGCCUGAGAGGGUGACCGGCCACAUUGGGACUGAGAUACGGCCCAGACUCCUACGGGAGGCAGCAGUGGGGAAUAUUGCACAAUGGGCGGAAGCCUGAUGCAGCAACGCCGCGUGCGGGAUGACGGCCUUCGGGUUGUAAACCGCUUUCGCCUGUGACGAAGCGUGAGUGACGGUAAUGGGUAAAGAAGCACCGGCUAACUACGUG
rnacentral:rRNA from 1 species